GACGAACGCUGGCGGCGUGCUUAACACAUGCAAGUCGAACGGGCCCGCUCUCUUUUUUGGGGGCGGGUUGAGUGGCGAACGGGUGAGUAUCCCGUGAGUAACCUGCCCCCUGCUCCUGGAUAACUGCUUGAAAGGGCGGCUAAUACGGGGUGUGCCGGCUGGUCCGCAUGGGCCUGGUCGGGAUAGUUUCAUCUUCGGGUGUUUCGGUGGGGGAUGGGCUCGCGGCCUGUCAGCUUGUUGGUGGGGUGAUGGCCCACCAAGGCGGUGACAGGUAGCCGGCCUGGGAGGGUGGGCGGCCAGGCUGGGACUGAGACACGGCCCAGACACGUGCGGGAGGCAGCGGGGGGUGGUAUUGCAGAGUGGGCGGAAGCCUGAUGCAGCGACGUCGCGUGAGGGAGGGCGGCGUUCGGGUUGUGAACCUCUUUCUCCGGUGGUGAAGGCCCUGUCCGUUGCGGCGGGGUUGACGGUAGCCGGGUAUGAAGCGCCGGCUAACUACGUG
rnacentral:rRNA from 1 species